GAAAUAUAUGGAUAUGAUGGGCAGAACUUCAUCUUCUUUGACAAGGAUACUCCCACCUGGAAUGCAACUGAUCCUGUGUCUCAAGAAACUAAGAGGAGGUGGAAUGCUGAUCUAGAAAGGAAGAAGAACACUAAGCAAUUCCUGGAAGAGACCUGCAUUAAACGGCUUCAGAAAUCAGUGGCCUAUGGGAAGGAGUCCCUGCUGAGGAAAGAGGCCCCUGUGGUGAAGGUGAUACACAAGACAGCUUCUGAUGGCCAGGAAACCCUCAUCUGUCAGGCCUUUGGCUUCUACCCCAAGGAGAUUGAUAUCAGCUGGAGGAAGAAUGGAACAGUCUGGGUGCAGGACGUCAUCCAUAGUGAUAUUUUCCCUAAUUCGGAUGGGACCUAUUACACCUGGAGCAAGAUCCCCAUUGUCCCCAAAGAGAAGGACCACUACCACUGCCAUGUGGAGCCUGCUGGGACCUCUGGACCUCAGCCUCUGGGCAGAGACUGGUAGGAGGCUUCAGAGUGACAGAGAAAGAGAGUAAACAGCAAAGAAAGAAAACUCAAGCAAAACAAAAAUGUGCGAACAAAUCCACUGCUUUUGAAUGUUCUGAGUUGAAUGUAAUUCCAAUCCAAAAAGGGUGUUGCAAAGGAAACACAAGGAAGAAGUACCCUCAACAUGUAAAAAUCUUACCUAGUACAUC